GACGAACGCUGGCGGCGUGCUUAACACAUGCAAGUCGAACGGUAAGGCCCUUCGGGGUACACGAGUGGCGAACGGGUGAGUAACACGUGGGUGAUCUGCCCUGCACUUCGGGAUAAGCCUGGGAAACUGGGUCUAAUACCGGAUAGGACUCCUGGCUUCAUGGUUGGGGGUGGAAAGCUUUUGCGGUGUGGGAUGGGACCGCGGCCUAUCAGCUUGUUGGUGGGGGAAUGGCCUACCAAGGCGACGACGGGUAGCCGGCCUGAGAGGGUGACCGGUCACACUGGGACUGAGAUACGGCCCAGAAUCCUACGGGAGGCAGCAGUGGGGAAUAUUGCACAAUGGGCGCAAGCCUGAUGCAGCGACGCCGCGUGAGGGAUGACGGCCUUCGGGUUGUAAACCUCUUUCAGCUAUGACGAAGCGCAAGUGACGGUAGUAGCAGAAGAAGGACCGGCCAACUACGUGCCAGCAGCCGCAGUAA
rnacentral:rRNA from 1 species